CACGCACAGGCAGCGUUGUGUACUGUUGCGAGCUGCGUCGCCUUGUAGAGUCAAAGCGUCUGAUCGAGGAGCGACAACAGAGCAAGUCCAUGAAUGGAAACGUCAGAACGCUAAGUUCUACAAGACAGCGUGAUUACAGCAAGGCGACUGGAAGAGAAAAUGCAUGGAGGCACCGAUACGAAAUGAAACCCGACAGACGGUGACUACAGCACCAAUUCAUGCUCGAAAGCGAAGCUGCCCCCUCAGACCUGUCCCUGCUCCCAAACAACUGGAAUGUGUGGCAGG